AUAGUUACCUGACAGGGGAGAUACAUUAUUGUAAAGGUGGUUUUCCCAGGGAGGGACUAUUUAUUGCACUCCGAUGAACUGACCCCUAUCAUUUCCCCAAAUGUGGGAAAUUGGACUGCCUAAUUUAUGGUAGUAGGGGACUGUAUCUCUACUUUUUCCUU